rnacentral:tRNA from 1 species
GCUCUUUUAGUANUUNCAAUCAGUAUAGCUGACUUCCAAUCAGCCGGUCCUAGANAAUAACCUAGGAAAGAGUA